GAUGAGCGCUAGCUACAGGCUUAACACAUGCAAGUCGAGGUGAAACGAUAGAGAAAGCUUGCUUUUUCUAGGCGUCGACCGGCGCACGGGUGAGUAACGCGUAUCCAACCUGCCCAUCACUUGGGGAUAACCUUGCGAAAGUAAGACUAAUACCCAAUGAUAUCUCUAGAAGACAUCUGAAAGGGGUUAAAGAUUUAUCGGUGAUGGAUGGGGAUGCGUCUGAUUAGCUUGUUGGCGGGGUAACGGCCCACCAAGGCGACGAUCAGUAGGGGUUCUGAGAGGAAGGUCCCCCACAUUGGAACUGAGACACGGUCCAAACUCCUACGGGAGGCAGCAGUGAGGAAUAUUGGUCAAUGGGCGAGAGCCUGAACCAGCCAAGUAGCGUGCAGGAUGACGGCCCUAUGGGUUGUAAACUGCUUUUAUAAGGGAAUAAAGUGAGUCUCGUGAGGCUUUUUGCAUGUACCUUAUGAAUAAGGACCGGCUAAUUCCGUGCCAGCCGCCGCAGUAA
rnacentral:rRNA from 1 species